rnacentral:rRNA from 1 species
GACAGAGGGGGCAAGCGUUGCUCGGAAUCACUGGGCGUAAAGGGCGCGUAGGCGGCCAACUAAGUCAGACGUGAAAUCCCUCGGCUCAACCGGGGAACUGCGUCUGAUACUGGAUGGCUUGAAUUCGGGAGAGGGAUGCGGAAUUCCAGGUGUAGCGGUGAAAUGCGUAGAUAUCUGGAGGAACACCGGUGGCGAAGGCGGCAUCCUGGACCGAGAUUGACGCUGAUGCGCGAAAGCUAGGGGAGCAAACGGG